UACUUCAAUAACCAUAUAACAAUAAAUUGCUUUUAAUUUUAUACAUAUGUAUAUAUAUCUAUAAAAGUAUGAGUGAUGUUUUUAAGCGGAAAUUGGAUAUGUUUUUAUUUCUUUAAUCGAUCUAGCUAAUGAUACAAAACAAAAGUUUACUAGAAAACAAUUUUUUUGGUUAGUAAGGGUUACUUAUUGUCUUCAAAAUAGAUUGAAGAGCGGUUUAGACAUUUAAAUUGGUGCACGUAGAAAUACUUUACCUUGGUGAAAAGACAGCAGGCCGAAUUCGCUCAAAAUACGCAUCUGUGACCGGCAAACUACUAUGGAGUAGUAAAAUAAAUUUAUUGUUGUUUUAUUCCAGCACUUGCUCAGCACCGCAUUUUUGCACGACCACAUGAAUAUGUAGAAGAGUGCGCAAAUAAGUGUGUUAACAUUGAACCCAUCUGUUAAAUUUGAUGCGAAUGUGGCUGCCGGCAAUUUCUGGUCGACAACUUACCAUACAACCGACCCAAACUGCGUGCAUCAGCUGGAAGUUUCUAAUGGACUCAUUUAUAUUUGCCUUACUAAGUUGCUCGCUUAUUGUUGCUGCAGUUAAUUAAAUUGUAGUCAAACACUUUUGCACUCUCUUCUGAAAGCUCCAGUCGGCGCAUGCUCAAGUAUUGGCCACACAAAUGAAGUACACUUGGUAUUUAAGCAAUGAAAAUAAAGCUCGUCCAUAAACGUAGCAAAUUGCUCGGUUAGAGAGUUAAUUAAGUUUAUUUUAAUUUAGUUAUUUUGGUUUUUUUAUUUCUUUGGUAAAGAUAAUAUCUUCUCUUUUGUUUACUUUACUAGGAUAUUAAAUUGUUAUAUUGAAAAUGUAUUUAAAAGAAAAUAGUUGAAAAAUAUUUUUUAAGCUAACUAGUCAUCAUUGCAAAAAGCGUAUUCUCAUCCAAAUAAAAAAAAUAAUUAGGGUCUCAUCAAACAUUAUUCAAAUGGUUAAUAAAUUGAUUCUUUCUUCCUUCUUCAUUCCAUAUCGAUAUUUUAUUUCUUGAGUCAUGUUAUGAUGAAAAAUGUUGAAUUGGCUAAAGUGUGGUUUUCAUGUGCCAAAUUUAAUGACAAAGACUCAGCAAUUUUCAAAAACGGCAGUAGUGUCAUUUUCUAUUCUUUUGAAAGUUCUCAUUAAUUUUACUGACGUAUUAGACUGUAUUCACUAGGUUGCUUAUUUAAAAGUUGCUAAUUAACCGUUUUUUUUCUUUGAUAAUUGCUGUCAUUAAAUUUGACAAAUAAAUGUACUAAAAUUGUCAGAAAUAAUAUCUCUGAUAUUAACAAUUCAAGUUUUCCAGACAAUUUAUAUUACUUGAGCAUAGGUUUUAUGCCGAAAAUUGCUUAACUCUUCAAAGACUCUUAAAUCAAAGAUCAGUCAGCCUGAAGGCAGUAUUGAAUAAUAAUCGAAAAUUUGUCAUUUUAAAUUCAAAAAUAUAUGUAUUUGCUAGAAAUUUUUUAAAUGCUUUCUUUUAUAUAUCAAGAAGCAAGCAAUCUGUGAAAUUAUUUUAAUUAAAAAAAUAUUCUUUAAAAAGAACGUACAAAGCUGAACUAAAAAGAAAAGGUUUUUCUCAAUAUUAAAGGAUUAAACCGUAACUGCCAAAGAAAAAGCUUACAGAACAAAGCUAUAAAAAUAACGGAAAAUUCCACUUCACAUUACCAUUUCGACUUCGACAAAUUCGAGUUAUUUGUACUGUUAAUUUGAAAAACACAGAUACAAAUAUAGGCUUAAUUGCUGCAAAUAAAUAAGUUUUUAUGUCCAACGGUUUAACUAUUGCUUGUUAUCGUCUGAAUAAUGUAUAUAACAGGCAUUAAUUGAUUUACGAGUGGAGAAGCUGCGUGCAAUAUAAAGUUUGAUGCUGCGGCGCUGAGAAUUCGGAAUGAAAUAUCGAGGCAAUAACUCCACUAAGCCUCAUAAAUAGCGUAAUAAAAAUGUGCAGUAUAUGUACUUAAAUAUAUAUGUGUGUGUGUGUGCGAAUUGACAGCUAAAAUAAUAAACUAAUUGAUCGCUUAGUUCACUACUCAACGUUUGACACAAUGCCCCCGAAGAAUUCCCACACGCCAAUGUAACUGACAAUUGAGCAAUAGUAAAGGCGGAAAUAUUCAAAAACAGCAACAAUAAGUACUAAUAAAAUGUGUAACAAAUGUUGAAAAUAGCAAAAUGAUGAAUGUUCAUUCACAAUGCUUGUAGACCUGAACGCUCUCCAAGCGCAGCAUGAUGCUACAACCGGAUAUACUGGUCUAUAAUGAGGCGCAAAUGCCACUACCAGGUCCUGUGGGCGUGGUCGAGCAAUGCUUACGGUGUUCAUCACUCGCAGCAUCAUUCACAUCAGUAAAAUCUAAUUAUCGUUAAUGCUGGGCUCUUCUAUGCUGAUAUGCUCAACGAUGACUUUCGAUAUGGACGGGCAUGAAAUGAUGGUAUUUCUGCAUAUACAAAAGAUCGGAGGUACAACGUUUAGACGGCAUUUGCAUAUAAGCCAUGCCAUAUGUUCGCAAUUCUUUAAUAUUGGACACAAUUCAAUAAACGACACAUGACGGAGAUGUACUCACGGAGGCACAGACAAAUCGUUUUGCUAUUGUUUUUGAUUUUUCUGAUGAGAGGAAGACAUUGCGCAACAACGUAAUAAAUUCGACAAUAUCCGUUCAAGAUAUUAAAAUCGCUUCCCAUUCCAAAUACACCAAACCGGAAGAACUUAUUAAUCCAGUGGAGUAUCAGCAUCGGUUAAUGGAGGAUAUUAAAACGCAACAAAACUUAAUGCUAAAACGUUUAGGCGAUAUUGAGAGUUGACUACGAGACGGUUCAAAUGUAUUUUUCUAUUAAUUGCUUCCAGAAGCAUAACCAUACAUUACCGUGAAUGAGAAUUUAUUGACAUAAUGAUGACGUCUACUUUCAUCAAAAAGUUGGAUCUUAUGAAGCAACUAUCUAAACUAAAUGCUUUGGUAAACACAAAACUAACUAUGAAAAAUGUCAAAAAUUUCAACUAAAUUUCGAGUAAAAGCGAAUUCAAAUUGUAGAUUUAGUUCAGUUUAUUAUAUUUAAAAAUUAUAAAAUUGCUUUAAUAAUCUAUAUAUAGAUAUACUAUACGUUUGUAUUACGUUUCCUUUGUCUUUUAACAAUUGAUUUGAACUUUCUUCUAUGUUCAACUAAAUAAAUAAUGUGAAACAAAUUGAA